CCUACGGGAGGCAGCAGUGAGGAAUAUUGGUCAAUGGGCGGGAGCCUGAACCAGCCAAGCCGCGUGAGGGAAGAAGGUACAGCGUAUCGUAAACCUCUUUUGUCAGGGAACACGGGCGGGGACUAGUCCCCGGAUGAGGGUACCUGAAGAAAAAGCAUCGGCUAACUCCGUGCCAGCAGCCGCGGUAAUACGGGGGAUGCGGGGGUUAUCCGGAUUUUUUGGGUUUAAGGGGUGCGCAGGCGGCCUGUUAUGUCAGCGGUAAAACCCCGGGGCUCAACCCCGGCGAGCCGUUGAAACUGGCGGGCUGGAGUUGGAUAGAAGUACGCGGAAUGCGCGGUGUAGCGGUGAAAUGCUUAGAUAUCGCGCAGAACCCCGAUUGCGAAGGCAGCGUACCGGCUCCACACUGACGCUGAGGCACGAAAGCGUGGGUAUCGAACAGGAUUAGAUACCCGAGUAGUC
rnacentral:rRNA from 1 species